UUAAACGACUCUCGGCAACGGAUAUCUCGGCUCUUGCAUCGAUGAAGAACGUAGCGAAAUGCGAUACUUGGUGUGAAUUGCAGAAUCCCGUGAACCAUCGAGUCUUUGAACGCAAGUUGCGCCUGAAGCCAUCAGGUUGAAGGCACGUCUGCCUGGGCGUCACGCAU
rnacentral:rRNA from 4 species